ACGCUCGACACCUACGGGACAGCAGUAGGGAAUCUUCCACAAUGGACGCAAGUCUGAUGGAGCAACGCCGCGUGAGUGAAGAAGGUCUUCGGAUCGUAAAACUCUGUUGUUAGAGAAGAACACGAGUGAGAGUAACUGUUCAUUCGAUGACGGUAUCUAACCAGCAAGUCACGGCUAACUACGUGCCGGCAGCCGCGGUAAUCUGAGCGGGCUGGCAAGGC
rnacentral:rRNA from 1 species